rfam:Tupaia chinensis contig212801, whole genome shotgun sequence.
GAGUGAUGAUGAUAAGAUUUUCCUAUUGACCUUUUAAACUAUGAAGGUUUCUAUACUUGAUCUAAGUUCA